AUUCCAGCUCCAAUAGCGUAUACUAAAGUUGUUGCAGUUAAAAAGCUCGUAGUUGGAUUUCUGUUAUUAAAAAUCGGUCGUGUCCUCACGGAUUCUGUACCAGGUUUCUUAAUUGCAUCUUCAAGGUUCUGGUAUCUGGUAUUAAUUUAUCGGGUAUUCGGUCCUUGUCAUUUACUGUGAGCAAAAUAGAGUGUUCAAAGCAGGCUUAGGCCAUGAAUACAUUAGCAUGGAAUAAUAAGAUAGGACCUUGGUCUAUUUUGUUGGUUUACAUUCCAAGGUAAUGAUUAAUAGGGAUAGUUGGGGGUAUUUGUAUUCAAUUGUCAGAGGUGAAAUUCUUGGAUUUAUGGAAGACAAACUACUGCGAAAGCAUUUACCAAGGAUGUUUUCAUUG
rnacentral:rRNA from 1 species